rnacentral:rRNA from 1 species
GACGAACGCUGGCGGCGUGCCUAACACAUGCAAGUCGAGCGAAGUGAGUACUACGGUACGAACUUAGCGGCGGACGGGUGAGUAACGCGUGGACAAUCUACCCUGUAGACUGGGAUAACACCUCGAAAGGGGUGCUAAUACCGGAUAAUGUCGAGAAGCGGCAUCGCUUUUCGAAGAAAGGAGAGAAUCCGCUAUAGGAGGAGUCCGCGUCCCAUUAGCUAGUUGGUGAGGGUAACGGCCCACCAAGGCGACGAUGGGUAGCCGGCCUGAGAGGGUGAACGGCCACACUGGAACUGAGACACGGUCCAGACUCCUACGGGGGGCAGCAGUGGGGAAUAUUGUGCAAUGGGGGAAAUCCUGACACAGCAACGCCGCGUGAGCGAAGAAGGCCUUCGGGUUGUAAAGCUCAAUAGUAUGGGAAGAUAAUGACGGUACCAUACGAAAGCCCCGGCUAACUACGUGCCAGCCGCCGCGGUAAAAC